ACUGGGGCUAAUUCUCGAUAGGCGAAGAACUCUGGAAUGAGUCUUCACCCGAAAAAGCUUCACGUUAUGCUCGUGAAGUCGCCCAAGGAUGAGGCCGCGACCGAUCAGGUUGUUGGUGAGGUAAUGGCUCACCAAGCCUUUUACCGGUGCGGGCCGUGAGAGCGGGAGCCCGGAGAUGGGCACUGAGACAAGGGCCCAGGCCCUACGGGGCGCAGCAGUCGCGAAAACUUUGCAAUACACGAAAGUGUGACAGGGCUAUCCCGAGUGCCAUCCGCUGAGGAAGGCUUUUACCCAGUAUAGAUCGCUGGGGGAAUAAGGAGAGGGCAAGUCUGGUGUCAGCCGCCGCGGUAAUACCAGCUCUCCGAGUGGUGUGGAUGUUUAUUGGGCCUAAAGCAUCCGUAGCUGGCUAGGUAAGUCCCUUGUUAAAUCCACCGAAUUAAUCGUUGGAUUGCGGGGGAUACUGCUUGGCUAGGGGACGAGAGAGGCAGACGGUAUUUCCGGGGUAGGGGUGAAAUCCUAUAAUCCCGGGAAGACCACCAGUGGCGAAGGCUGUCUGCUAGAACGCGCCCGACGGUGAGGGAUGAAAGCUGGGGGAGCGAACCGGAUUAGAUACCCGGGUAGUCCCAGCUGUAAACGAUGCAGGCUAGGUGUUUGGACGGCCACGUGCCGUUCUAGUGCCGCAGGGAAGCUGUUAAGCCUGCCGCCUGGGGAGUACGAUCGCAAGAUUGAAACUUAAAGGAAUUGGCGGGGGAGCACCACAAGGGGCGAAGCUUGCGGUUUAUUG
rnacentral:rRNA from 1 species